GGCCUGGUAGCCAAGCGGUAAGGCAGUUCUCUGCAAAAGAACUACGCGGGAGUUCGAUUCUCCCCCAGGCCU
rnacentral:tRNA from 1 species